GCUGCGUUGCUCUGGUCCUGAUUCUACUGUUCUUCACCUUAUUUUAUAUUUACAAGAAGAAGCAGCUCAAGUCGACACCAGCUGGAGAUACAGAGCUCAUAUACGCUGAUAUCUCUCAUGAGAAAAAGGGUGAAAAGAAGAAUACAGAAUCUUUCCUGGCUGCUGAUGUGGAAUACGCCGCGGUCCAACCGCAGACAAAGAGGAAGAAGAAGGUUAAGGA